GUUUUUCAAUAACACAAAAGAUUGUUUUAUUGGUUGUGCACUUAUCGUUUUUAUCGAGGAACCAAGAUUCAUUUAUGUCUUUUACAAAAAGGGUAUGUGAAAAGAGACGCAGUAGACGUGUCCAAAAAGAAUAUUAAAAAAUACUAGAAUUUUCGUCAGUACAUAUAAAAAAAAAAUCGAAUGUUGGAACUUGUAAAAAAAAUGAUUUCUUAUCUUGCGAAAAUCUAAAAGAAUAUUUUGACCAUCGUGAGUCAUCGAUUUUGUACAAUGAAUACUCUUAUGACCAAAAGCCUAAUGAGUAUAAGCAUAACCCAACUUUAAAGGAAAGUUUUUCUAUAUGUUUUUCUAACCAAGUAAUUAUGCACUAAAGAAGUGGAUUGACAAAGAAUAGCAACAAAUUUAUUGUCCCAAAAAAAAACUAUAAUCAUGCACUAAAAAACAACCUUUCGUCAACAAAAGAAUGGCACAAAUUUCCAUUGAUAAAGUGUAAGAUAGCAGAUAGUCAGUAUCUAACUUGUUUUGUGUUUUUUUUAAAGAGAUGCAAAAUGUUAUUCUCAACGAGCUUGCAGAAAUAAAAGUUCUUUUAAAAGAAGUUAUAGAAAUUAAGUUUCAGGCUACUGGGGUGAAGUUGCUAGAAUCAGUGGACGAAGUUGUUACACUGAAUAUUAAACUAAAAGAUAAAACUGAGUAUAUUAAUUUGGUAUAAUCUAAUUAUCUUAAUUUUUAAUAAGUUUGUUUAAAUUUGGUUUACUAGUUUAGAAUCUAAAUGAAAAGUAUUUGUAAAUGAACUAAAAUAACUAGCUUGUGUUAGACUCAAUAUGUUGUAAAGAAAUUUAAGUUACACUAGUUUUUAUUACAUUUAUUUCAGCUUGAUAGUUUGAAAAAGAUUGGUGGUGGAAAGCCAAGA